rnacentral:tRNA from 1 species
GGACUGGUGGUUCAGUGGUAGAAUUCUCACCUUCAAUGCAAGAGACCCAGGUUCGAUUCCCGGCCAAUGCA